GCUUCAAAACCAGAUCAGCUGUAACAUUAUUAUAGCUCCUCAGAUGCGAGCAAUUUUUAUACUUUUCAUCUUUACAGGUGACAUAAAUUUGCUGUAAAUGCCUACAGAGCACCCAAACACAGCAGCUUCAAUUACUUUCUACGAUUCAAAGCCUUCUCACAUUGAUUGUGGAUUCAAGAUGUACAGAUUUAGCAGACGUCUCAGCAAAAGUGGGCUAAUGGUUAUCGCUACAGAAGUGAGUCUGAAUACUCCCAUUUUGCGAGAUAGUUUCAGCUUAUAUAAUGAGAUUCCUCCAGAUAAUAUAUCUUGCUCUGCUCUCCCAGAGAUAAAAACACAGCUCUGGCUCAUUCACUCCACUCUGUUCUCCUCUUAAAGACCAAUAGGAAUUUGCUAAGUUCAUUCAAGAACUGACCUCAUUUUACAUUGUGACGCUGUACUUCACUGUGCUAAAGCACUAUGGAGCUGCACUGACAGGCAACCUGGAUUCUGAACCUCACACAUAAUAAGGUUGUCUGAUCACAUCCGUGAGCUGCACUGUGUUAGCCACUGUCAGACAUCUGACAACUGGACAAAGAUGGACGAUGUGCUUUGAAACUUCAGGGCAGGACACUUGGGAAAGAAAAGGGCAAAAGUUACACAAACAUUGACAGAGGUCGACAGUGUCAAUGAAAAGAAUCAGAAGAGCUCUGAGUGAUAACACUCAGUUUUUAAGGACUGUCAGUGGCUACUCAUAUCAAGUUGCUCACAAAAUAGUCCUGAAUUACCUUCCUGGAAGAUAAUCUCCUAUCAGACUUUUCAGAAAUAUCUUGAUUGCUCAGUCCCUUUUCUUUACUGUAAGGUUAUAAAAACCCAGAGACUUCUAAUAAGAAGUUCAAUAA